rnacentral:tRNA from 1 species
UCCCGAGUAGCUCAGCCGGUUAGAGCAACUGACUGUUAAUCAGUGGGUCGGGGGUUCGAGUCCCUCCUCGGGAGCCA